rnacentral:rRNA from 1 species
UACGUAGGUGGCAAGCGUUGUCCGGACUUAUUGGGCGUAAAGCGCGCGCAGGCGGUCCUUUAAGUCUGAUGUGAAAGCCCACGGCUCAACCGUGGAGGGUCAUUGGAAACUGGGGGACUUGAGUACAGAAGAGGAAAGCGGAAUUCCACGUGUAGCGGUGAAAUGCGUAGAGAUGUGGAGGAACACCAGUGGCGAAGGCGGCUUUCUGGUCUGUAACUGACGCUGAGGCGCGAAAGCGUGGGGAGCAAACAGG